UUUAACGAGAGUUUGAUCCUGGCUCAGGAUGAACGCUGGCGGCGUGCUUAACACAUGCAAGUCGAACGAAGCGCUUAAAUGGAUUUCUUCGGAUUGAAGUUUUUGUGACUGAGUGGCGGACGGGUGAGUAACGCGUGGGUAACCUGCCUCAUACAGGGGGAUAACAGUUAGAAAUGACUGCUAAUACCGCAUAAGCGCACAGUGCUGCAUGGCACAGUGUGAAAAACUCCGGUGGUAUGAGAUGGACCCGCGUCUGAUUAGCUAGUUGGUGGGGUAA
rnacentral:rRNA from 1 species